UACGGAGGGUGCAAGCGUUAUCCGGAUUCACUGGGUUUAAAGGGCGCGUAGGCGGUUCGUCAAGUCCUGUGUGAAAUCCCCCGGCUCAACUGGGGAACUGCACAGGAAACUAGCGGGCUUGAGUUCGGGAGAGGGAAGCGGAAUUCCGGGUGUAGCGGUGAAAUGCGUAGAUAUCCGGAGGAACACCGGUGGCGAAGGCGGCUUCCUGGACCGACACUGACGCUGAGGCGCGAAAGCUAGGGGAGCAAACGGG
rnacentral:rRNA from 1 species